GCAAACUGCGUGCGAGCAGGUGGGGUAAGAUUGGUGGUGCAGAUGUUGAGUGGGAUGACGGGGCGUAAGGCGUGUGCAGGCGGUUUAGUAAGACAGAGGUGAAACGCCAGGCGUCAACCGGUGCAUUGACGUGGUGACGGUAAGGCUGGAGUGCGGCAGAGGGGGAUGGAAUUCCGCGUGUAGCAGUGAAAUGCGUAGAUAUGCGGAGGAACACCGAUGGCGAAGGCAAUCCCCUGGGCCUGCACUGACGCUCAUGCACGAAAGCGUGGGGAGCAAACAGGAUUAGAUACCCUAGUAGUC
rnacentral:rRNA from 1 species